rnacentral:rRNA from 1 species
AUUGAACGCUGGCGGCAGGCCUAACACAUGCAAGUCGAACGAGUGGCGGACGGGUGAGUUAUGUCUGGGAAACUGUCCGAUGGAGGGGUAUAACCACUGGAAACGGUCGCUAAUACCGCAUACCAUCGGAUGUGCCCAGGUGGGAUUAGAUAGUAGGGGGGGUAACGGCUCACCUGGGCGACGAUCCCUAGCUGGUCUGAGAGGAUGACCAGCCACACUGGAACUGAGCCACGGUCCAGACUCCUACGGGAGGCAGCAGUGGGGAAUAUUGCACAAUGGGCGCAAGCCUGAUGCAGCCAUGCCGCGUGUAUGAAGAAGGCCUUCGGGUUGUAAAGUACUUUCAGCGGGGAGGCGUUACUCGCAGAAGAAGCACCGGCUAACUCCGUGCCAGCAGCCGCGGUAAUAC